rnacentral:rRNA from 1 species
UAGAUACCCUGUUAUACUAGAAUCAAAACAAUAGUAACCUUGAGUAUUAACAAUUAAUUGGUUCGAAAUUCAAAGAGUUUGGCGGUAUUUUAGUCUAGUUAGAGGAACCUGUUUUAUAAACGAUACUCCGCGUAAAAUCUUUCUCGUUCUAGUUAAAGCUAGUAUACCAUCAUUGUCAGAUAAUUUUAUUUAUUAAAAAAUUAUUGUAAUUGAGCAAAUUCAAAUAUAUUAGAUCACGGUGCUGCUAAUGAACGAGUAUGAAUGGGUUACAAUAAUUUUAAUUUAUAACGGAUUUAUAAAUGAAAAUACUAUAAAGAAGGUGGAUUUGAUAGUAACAUAAGUUUAACAUGUCUAUGUGAGAUUAGCUCUAAAAUAUGUACAUAUCGGCCGUCGCAUG